rnacentral:rRNA from 1 species
GACGAACGCUGGCGGCGUGCUUCACACAUGCAAGUCGAACGAAGUGGCGAACGGGUGAGUAACGCGUCAUCAACCUGCCCUUCACAGGGGGACAACAGUUGGAAACGACUGCUAAUACCGCAUACUGAUGGCGGGGCUUUCGUCUGAUUAGCUAGUUGGAGGGGUAACGGCCCACCACGGCGAUGAUCAGUAGCCGGGCUGAGAGGAGGAACGGCAACAGUGGGACUGAGACACGGCCCAGACUCCUACGGGAGGCAGCAGUGGGGAAUCUUACGCAAUGGACGAAAGUCUGACGGAGCAACGCCGCGGGAGUGAGGACGGCCUUCGGGUGGUAAAGCUCUGUUAAUCGGGACGCGGUACCGGAAUAGAAAGCCACGGCUAACUACGUGCCAGCAGCCGCGGUAAUAC